rnacentral:lncRNA from 1 species
GGACGCCGACGUGCCACUGUAAAUUAAACCUCCCUCCAAACCGCCGACGUAUCAUUUUCCCAACAACACACAUCACCGUACCCUGAACUUUUUGCUCUUGAUUGAUCGAUCGACCGACGACGAGCAGGGACGACGAGGCGAGGCAGCCGCUGUCGCGGAAGGUGUCGAUCGCGUCGAGCAAGGUGAACCCGUACCGGAUGGUCAUCGUGGUGCGUCUCGUCGUGCUCGCCUUCUUCCUCCGCUACCGCAUCCUGCACCCUGUCCCGGACGCCAUCGGGCUGUGGCUCGUCUCCAUCAUCUGCGAGAUCUGGUUCGCCAUCUCCUGGAUCCUGGACCAGUUCCCCAAGUGGUUCCCCAUCGACCGCGAGACGUACCUGGACCGCCUCACCCUCCGGUACGAGAGGGAAGGGGAGCCGUCGCUGCUGUCGGCGGUGGACCUCUUCGUGAGCACGGUGGACCCGCUCAAGGAGCCGCCGCUGGUGACCGCCAACACCGUGCUCUCCAUCCUCGCCGUCGACUACCCCGUCGACAAGGUCUCCUGCUACGUCUCCGACGACGGCGCGUCCAUGCUCACCUUCGAGGCGCUGUCGGAGACGGCCGAGUUCGC